CCCUCUGGGCUCCUUGGUGAUUCAUAAUAACUUAACGAAUCGCAUGGCCUUGCGCCGGCGAUGGUUCAUUCAAAUUUCUGCCCUAUCAAUUUUCGAUGGUAGAGUAGUGGUCUACCAUGAUCUUAACGGGUAACGGGGAAUUAGGGUUCUAUUCCGGAGAAGGAGCCUGAGAAACGGCUACUACAUCCAAGGAAGGCAGCAGGCGCGCAAAUUACCCAAUGCUAAUUCAGCGAGGUAGUGACAAUAAAUACUGAUACGGGGCUCUUUCGGGUCUCGUAAUUGGAAUGAGUACAAUCUAAAUCCCUUAACGAGGAACAAUUGGAGGGCAAGUCUGGUGCCAGCAGCCGCGGUAAUUCCAGCUCCAAUAGCGUAUAUUAAAGUUGUUGCCGUUAAAAAGCUCGUAGUUGAACCUUGGACCUGGCUGAUCUGUCCUCCUAAUCGAGCGCACGGAUUCGGUCGGGUCUUUCCUUCUGGGGAGCCCUAUGCCCUUCACUGGGUGUAGUGGGGAACCAGGACUUUUACCUUGAAAAAAUUAGAGUGUUCAAAGCAGGCCUUUGCUCGAAUACAUUAGCAUGGAAUAAUAGAAUAGGACAUCGGUUCUAUUUUGUUGGUUUCUAGGACCGCUGUAAUGAUUAAUAGGGAUAGUCGGGGGCGUCAGUAUUCAAUUGUCAGAGGUGAAAUUCUUGGAUUUAUUGAAGACUAACUACUGCGAAAGCAUUCGCCAAGGAUGUUUUCAUUAAUCAGUGAACGAAAGUUAGGGGAUCGAAGACGAUCAGAUACCGUCGUAGUCUUAACCAUAAACUAUGCCGACUAGGGAUCGGACGGUGGUUUUUUUAUGCCCCGUUCGGCACCUUACGAGAAAUCAAAGUUUUUGGGCUCGGGGGGGAGUAUGGUCGCAAGGCUGAAACUUAAAGAAAUUGACGGAAGGGCACCACCAGGCGUAAACAGUACGUUUCCUACGCUGCCGUAGUUAACUCUGCGCCGAAAAGCAGCCCGAUAAGGGUGAAGUGGUUGCGGCCUUAAAUGCUAGUCGGUCUACGGACGGGCGACACCCUCAAAUUGCGGGAAGUUCCUAAAGCCUAAACUACCAAGUGGCAGCUGAAAGGUUGUCAUGGCCAGGGUAAUGACCUCGGGUACGGUAACAACGUUUAGGAUGUGACAAUGGAUAAUCCGCAGCCAAGCGCCCUCGGCCCUCCAACCAUGGGGGGUGGGCGAAGGUUCAGAGACUAAAUGGGGGUGGGUAAGAGUUUUUACCUACAUUUCACAUCUCUUGCUUAAGAUAUAGUCCAAUCCCUUAGGUAAACCUUUGGGGGCUUCAAUGGGAGCCUGCGGCUUAAUUUGACUCAACACGGGGAAACUCACCAGGUCCAGACAUGCUUAGGAUUGACAGAUUGAUAGCUCUUUCUUGAUUGUAUGGGUGGUGGUGCAUGGCCGUUCUUAGUUGGUGGAGUGAUUUGUCUGCUUAAUUGCGAUAACGAACGAGACCUUGACCUGCUAAAUAGCCAGGUUGACUUUUGUCGGCCGCCGGCUUCUUAGAGGGACUUUUGGCUCAAGCCAAUGGAAGUACGAGGCAAUAACAGGUUAACCUUUGGAGUUACAUUCCAUCACAGGCCUGUAAGAGUGAACCUCGAUAAAAAAUCACUAGUCAAGCAUCAUUCCUCUUGGUGGAAGUUCCACCUAUAGUCGGGAGAGGAGCAGCCGUUCAGCGGUUGUCGAUGCUGGCGAGACAACCUGGUUCAGGGGACGCUUCUCCAUACUCUUCGGUGUGGAUGCCAAUCCUGAGGCGAGCCAAAGUAGCGUUUGGCCGUCGCAACGCGCGCAAAGGUGUCGGCCCUACGCUCGAGAGAGCUGGGGUUUGAGGUACGUGC
rnacentral:rRNA from 1 species